AUCCAGCUGACCAGUCCUAUAUGGAACGAAACGCAUGUCCUGGAU
rfam:Schistosoma haematobium scaffold3352_1, whole genome shotgun sequence.